rnacentral:rRNA from 1 species
CCUACGGGUGGCAGCAGUGGGGAAUAUUGGACAAUGGGGGGAACCCUGAUCCAGCCAUGCCGCGUGUGUGAAGAAGGCCCUCGGGUUGUAAAGCACUUUCAAUGAGGAAGAACGCCUGGUGGUUAAUACCCAUCAGGAAAGACAUCACUCACAGAAGAAGCACCGGCUAACUCCGUGCCAGCAGCCGCGGUAAUACGGAGGGUGCGAGCGUUAAUCGGAAUUACUGGGCGUAAAGCGCGCGUAGGUGGCUUGAUAAGCCGGUUGUGAAAGCCCCGGGCUCAACCUGGGAACGGCAUCCGGAACUGUCAAGCUAGAGUGCAGGAGAGGAAGGUAGAAUUCCCGGUGUAGCGGUGAAAUGCGUAGAGAUCGGGAGGAAUACCAGUGGCGAAGGCGGCCUUCUGGACUGACACUGACACUGAGGUGCGAAAGCGUGGGUAGCAAACAGGAUUAGAUACCCCAGUAGUC